GACGAACCGUGCGAACGUUGUUCGGAAUCACUGGGCUUAAAGGGCGCGUAGGCGGGUGGUCAAGUCAAGGGUGAAAUCUUUCGGCUCAACCGGAAAAUAGCCCCUGAUACUGGCCGUCUUGAGGGAGAUAGGGGCACGUGGAACUUCCGGUGGAGCGGUGAAAUGUGUUGAUAUCGGAAGGAACGCCGGUGGCGAAAGCGACGUGCUGGACCUCUUCUGACGCUGAGGCGCGAAAGCCAGGGUAGCGAACGGGAUUAGAUACCCUAGUAGU
rnacentral:rRNA from 1 species